rnacentral:rRNA from 1 species
UACGUAGGGUGCGAGCGUUGUCCGGAAUUAUUGGGCGUAAAGGGCUCGUAGGCGGUUUGUCGCGUCGGGAGUGAAAUCAUCUGGCUUAACUGGGUGCUUGCUUUCGAUACGGGCAGACUAGAGGGAUGCAGGGGAGAACGGAAUUCCUGGUGUAGCGGUGAAAUGCGCAGAUAUCAGGAGGAACACCGGUGGCGUAGGCGGUUCUCUGGGCAUGAUCUGACGCUGAGGAGCGAAAGUGUGGGGAGCGAACAGG